rnacentral:rRNA from 1 species
AUGUUCCCCAACAGUUCGGCCUCUCCGUCAUCAUGGCUGCGGUAUGGUUCACUGCCGAUGACCAGAUGCCCCGACUGCCCAUGCAUCGCGCCACUGAAGCGUUUGACAACCAUAUCAGAGAAGAAUGGAAACCAUGGGCGGGAAUUUGUGAAAUGCGAGAGCAAACCAGAAGCGGGGAAGAAGCUGAAAACAUGCAAGCAUUUUGAGUAG